UCCGGUAUGGUGUAACGGCUAACAUUGCCGCCUUUCAUAGACUUGCAUCUUAUAAACACCGCGGCAGCUCGGGGUUCGAUUCCCCGUACCGGAA